rnacentral:rRNA from 1 species
UAAUACGUAGGUGGCAAGCGUUGUCCGGAUUUAUUGGGUUUAAAGGGUGCGUAGGCGGUCUAUUAAGUCAGUGGUGAAAUACUCUAGCUCAACUAGAGGGGUGCCAUUGAUACUGAUGGACUUGAGUACAGAUGAGGUAGGCGGAAUUGACGGUGUAGCGGUGAAAUGCUUAGAUAUCGUCAAGAACACCUAUAGCGAAGGCAGCUUACUAGGCUGUAACUGACGCUGAGGCACGAAAGUGUGGGGAUCAAACAGGAUUAGAUACCCUGGUAGUCCACACUGUAAACGUUGAUUACUCGCUGUGUGCGAUAUACAGUACGCGGCCAAGCGAAAGCGAUAAGUAAUCCACCUGGGGAGUACGCCGGCAACGGU